rnacentral:lncRNA from 1 species
CAAAAGUCAAGAAAGACCAAAAGAGACUGAGAGAAGAGAAGAAAGGAAGGAAGAAGAGGAGAAAAAGGAGGAACUGGAUUUCCAAGCUUGGUGCUCUAUUUCUUCAAUUUCUCAUUUCGUUUAGAGAGGUAAGAACAAGCAUAUUGAAUUAAAUUUUCUUAGGGUUUAUGGAAAAUUUGUUUCAAUUCAAAACUUAGCUAGAAUUAGGUAUUUUUAAUAUGUAUUUGAUGUUAUAAAUAGAAAUAUAGCAAAGAAAUAUGUUUAUUUGAAUGUUGAAGUUGAAGAAAGUGGAACUUUGUAAAUGGGCUUAUGAAAUGGAUAUUUAUUCUUUGAUCUUUUUGGGAUUAUAUGAUGUCAAGCACUUAAAUUAAGGAUUUGGGGUUCAUUUCUCCAUUUUAAGUAAUUAAUAUAAGUCGUUUUUGGACAAAAUCCUACUCAGGUGUUGUUUUUGAAAGUGUGCCCAAAAUAGCGAUAUUUCUGUCAAAGGUUUCGAUACCAAAUUUUAUUAUAGAAAUUGGUGCCAGAUUUUAAUAUUAUGGGAUUUUAGUGCGAUUUUUGCCAAAGCUCUUAUUUUCAGAUUUUUAAAGGUUUGAAUGAAGUUAUAUGACAAAUAUUGAAGUUUAUAUAUUAGACUAAAUUUGGUAUAGGGGUUGUAUAUGAAUAAGGUAGUGAUUUUAAGAAAGUGCGAGUGAUUUAAUGGAUUUGAUAAUGAAUGGUGAUUAGUUGAUAAAGCAUUAAAGAGACGAAAAGUUGGAGAAUUAGAGAUGUAAGAAUAAAUAUAGAAGUUGAGAAGUUAAGUUGUGGAUUUGUAUUAAUUUAAUUGUCAAGUUUAAUUUGAGAAAUUAUAUCGUUAUUUCGGGUAGUGAUGUGAAAGCUUGAAAACACUCGUCAAUUUAGCCCGUUUUCUAUCCAUAUAUCUGUGAGUGGAUAUAAAACUUAUUUUUCAGAAAUUAAUAUUUAUUAAAUUUUUGUUAAAUUAGAAAAUUUAUUAUUUCAUACAAUUGAUUUGACAGCAUGAUUUUUAGAAUAAAGUGAAUUUAUAAUCAGUUAUUUUUAAAGUUAAAUUCAGUUCAAUUAAAUUAUUUCAAUAACAUGUACCAUUCGUAUUACAUGUACUAACUUAUACAUGAGUAAGGUUAUUCCGGAUACCAUUUUUGUAUGGUUUUUAAUAUUUCUACAGCUUAUCAGAUUUCAGAUUAUAGAAUUUAGUUAAUUAAGUUUUCAGAAUAAAGCUUUCAGCUUAUAGUAUUGAGCAGAAGCAAUAUUUCAUAGAUUUUUA